AUCUUUGCGCUUGGGGCAAUGACGCAGCUAGUGAGGUUAUACCGAGGCGCGUCAAUUGCUGGUUGAAAACUAUUUCCAAACCCCCUCUUUGGCUCCUCGGAGCCACUGAGAAUUUCUGGAAGGGCUCUCUCUCCUUCGGGUGAGGGUAAAGCC
rfam:Triticum aestivum genome assembly, contig: Triticum_aestivum_CS42_TGACv1_scaffold_288649_4AL